rnacentral:lncRNA from 1 species
CCCAAAGUGUUGGGAUUAUAGGUGUGAGCCAUGGCGCCCGGCCCUCUCUCUCUCUCUCUCUCUUUUUUUUUUUUUUUUGACUCCUGCAUUUUUUGUUUGUAAUACACUGGAGCCAGUUUUCCCAUUGGACUUAGGGUUUGUGAAUGCCUCUGGCCACAUUAUAGAGGAAACAGACUCUAAUAGGGUCUUCCUGCUUUCUCCUCUCAUCUGCCAUAUUCAGUCCUUAAGGAGUUUCCUAGAGGUUUUCUCUGCAGUCCAUCCUCUUAUGUUACAUCACUUGUGACAGUGAUUUGUAACAACAUUGGUUGCUUUAUGUUCUCCAGUAUCCAUUCAUCUAUUUACCCAGGUUAUAGUUCCCAGGCUUCCUUUGGAGAAACCACCCCUCCUUUACUUUCAGCCCACCUUCGGAGGGGGUGGGGAGACAGCAUGGGAUGUAAUCCUUAACCAAUCAGUCCAUUCAUUCCCCAGGCCACGAUGAUUGAUUAGCAAUGUCAUAUGACCCAGUCAGAGCCAAUGAGACACAAUGAGGCUUUUGCUGGGACUGGAGAGAAAGAGCAAAAGAGAACUUUUUCCUGCUGGACUUAACCUCAAGGGAUGUUAGGUUAGAGGUUCUAGCAGCCACCUUGUCAUCAUGGGGAGAAAGACCAUCUGAGAAGGAAGCCAAUCCCACAGAAGCGGAUCCAAGAUACCGGAAGAGUGAAACGGUCUUCUAAAGCUGUACCUGAAGUCACCUUACUCCUGCCAUUUUUUAGUCUGUGCGGCCCCGUGUCACGUUGUACCUGGUUAUAUGUGCUGAAGUCUCUGAGCUACUCCCACAGUCAAGCUGGUCACAAAUCGGAUUGGGCCUCAUUUUCACCCUGAAGGAAACUGAGGCUGAGAGUUGCUGAGGCCUGCCCUAAAGGUUGUGGCAAGAGACUCAGCUGGAGGUGAGGUUCCUCUCCUCUAACCUCAACAGGACUCUCCCCACUGGUACGCUACAACAGCUUGGAAGGUAAUCGCACUUGUCAGCGUGGGCUUUCCGGAAUAUGUGCUGCUCAUAUUCUGGGAAGGGCAGGCAGCGGGGGUGAGGGUGAGACAGGAAAUCUUUCUGGAGGCUCUGAAGCCAUUCCGGUUUUGGAGCAUCCCCAGCAACUCCCACAGAAUCAAGCCUUUUAAACUGCCUUUUGGAGAGGUUCGACUGAGAGCAAGGCUGCCUCAAUCUGCUUCUGCCCAACUUCCUUUCUGUGAGGCCCCACAAGAGGACUAGAGCAGCGCCCCAGGGAGGAUGCGAGGAGAAUGGGCUGAUUGAGCGAUGUGGGCACAGGGCUGGCUGGCUGCCACCGUGCUGUCUGUCAGCAGGCUACAGGGUGGCUUUUCUUCUUGGUUUGCUUGCAGAGCCAGGGAGGCUGGGUGCCAGGGAGAAUAUUUUCUUUGUUUGGGAAAAGCCGUGUCCAUCUGGCUUGCUCUGUAGCCUGUAGCCUCUCGCCUGAGAAGCUUUCCUGCCACUGGACAUGGAUCCCACUGGCAGGGUCUCUGCUGUGACCGACAGAAGAUGCCGGCCCUGGGAGAGGCAACCAGUGAGGGCCCUACACAGAGCAUGCCUGCGCCUGGACUGACCCAGCCUUCAGUUCAUCCACCCCACAGACAUUGGCUCAGGGUCUCCCCUGGUGGAAUGUGGACCAUGGCCUGUUGUUACAGGCUCAGGUAGAUUGUCGACAAUGGUGCUCCAGUAUUCUCGGCCUGGGGGAGCUUGCAUCCUGCAUAGCCCCUUAAUUUUUGCAGAUGAGGACACUGAGACUCAGAGAUCUGAAAUAGCUUGUCCAAGGUCACACAAGAAAGCCAGGUUCAAGGCCUGGCUCCACCACUGCCUUGUCUUGUGGCCUUGAGCAAGUUCCUUGGCCUUGCUGGGCCUGUUUCCUAAUCUCUGAAGGGGGAUAAGUACCUAGUCCACAAGGCUAAUGUGGGAGUUAAAUGAGAUGAUCCAGCUGAGGGCCUCAUCAAAGGCCCUCUGCUCAUGGGAGGAGUCCCGUACAGUCCACCUCCAUCUCUGAAUCUGCAUUACCCUUGUUUUAUUAUUGUCAUGCAGUUGGCAACAACCACUACAAUCAAAUGAAGACCUCGGAAGCCAAGGCUGUGCAGCUGUUGCACAAAGUUCCUCGAAAGUCCCUCUUGCCUUCCAUCCUCCCCAUGUUCCCACAUGGUAGAGAUGGCAAGUCUCCUUUCUUUCAUUUUACUGAUGAGAUAAAACUUCAGUCAAAGAUGUGUCCUAAACCUGUGCUCUCCACUUCCUGGUUUCCCUGCUCUUUCUGUCUCCACCUGCUGCCAAUUAGAAUAUUCCCACUGGUAGGAUAUUCCAGCCAUGAGGGCGCUGAGUGUGGGAAAGAAGGAAUACCCCCUCCCACCCCAAAUCAAUGGAAAUCACCUCAGCAUUCUUCUUACUGUUUUCUAUUUUUUCUUGGGUUCAUCUCCAGGGGCUGCGGGUUGGGGGCUAAGGACUGGGGGUCCUUGACUGACUGCACAGGGCUGGAUCUGACGGAGCAGAUAGAACGCAUUUCCCAGCUCUGGGGCUGUGGCCAGUGACAACUUUAACGGCAAAGAAUUACCAUCAAUUGUGUCCUGUGGCUGAAGGGAUUUAUGGACAUUUUAUGUGACUCUAUGGACACAGACCCAAGGUUCCAACUGAACAGAGCUGGGAAGAAACACAGUGGCCCUUGUUAAACGGAAAGAAUGAGUUUAAUGUAUACAGGGAGAGGGUAAGGGGUGGCGGUGGGGAGACAGAAGGAAAGGAGGUUCCCCGUGUUAAAUAUUUACAAUUUGGGACUUGGGUCCUGUAUUUCCAAAGGUGGUGGCAGGAGGGUGAUUUCCGUAAUAUAUUCCUCCCUCAAAACCCACCUUGCAUGAGAAACUGCAGCAGGCACAAAAUAUUGCUCAUGAAUAUUAAUCAGUAAACUCCCCCUGCCAGUUGGGAAUGGGGGCUGGUACUAAAAUACUCCCUCCCCAACCCCCAAAGGCAAACAGCCCCCAAGGAAAACCCUGAAGCCAGCUCCCCAGGCUGACAGCAGAAGUAUUCCUGGCCGUGGGGUCAGAGGGCAUGGCCAGGGGAGGGGUCAGCUUUGUUUCCACUGUGUGUUGGUGAAUGCCAAACCUUUAUGGAACUUUGCUAGCUGUGUUUUGGGCUAUUUAGCUGCAAAACCAAAAGAUUUAUUUUUUCCCUCUCUCUCCUUUUGGGUUUUGUCUUCCACUGGCAGCAGUAACAUAUGCAGGUCUGGAGGCCGUUAAGGCAGGCCAGGCUCUCUCCCAUCCGAAGAAAAGAAAAGACAGGUCUUAAUUAAAAGAGAACCCAACAUUUGUAAAGCCAGCACAAACAUUCCCAACAUCCACCACCAUUGCUUCUGUGAUCUUUUCAAUAGACAAAGGAAAAAUGAGUGGCAUGGGAGGCAUCUUUCAUGAUACAUUUUAUCUGUACAACCUGUUACCUUUUUUUUUUUUUUUUUUUUUUUUUUGAGAUGGAGUCUCGCUCUGUCACCCAGGCUGCAGUGCAGUGGCGCCAUCUCGGCUCACUGCAAGCUCUGCCUCCCGG